UUUUUACUCCCUCUGCCUCGCCUCUUUCCGUUCCCGGCUCCCCGCGUUCUGGUGCCGGGACCCCUCGCAACUGUUGUGGCUGCUGCCCCGCUGCCGCCGGGGUGGUGCUGACCGCGGAGCGCUCGGAGGCCCGUGAGUGUGAAUGUCGGGGAUCUCCGCCGUAGCUGAGUGAGAGCACACCUCCGAGCUGCCGACAGACGGGAUGUUUUUUCGGUUGCUGUCGGCGGUCCGAAGACAAAGGCCCGGCCGAGGAUGGCAGAACCGGUCGUCGGGGAGGAGCAGUGCGUCGGCCGCCGAGGCGCAUUCUGUCGCCCUGCCCGCCCAGGCGCAGGUGGUCAUCUGCGGUGGCGGGAUCAUGGGCACAUCCGUGGCCUAUCACCUCUCCAAGAUGGGGUGGAAGGAUAUUGUCCUUUUGGAGCAGGGCAGGCUGGCUGCUGGCUCCACGAGGUUCUGUGCUGGCAUCCUGAGCACCGCCAGGCACCUGACCAUCGAGCAGAAGAUGGCAGACUAUUCCAACAAGCUCUACCACCAGUUAGAGCAAGAAACGGGCAUCCAGACAGAGCCCCUGCUGAGUUCCCUCCUGCGUCGCAUGCCCGACCUGGAGACCCUGGAGAUCCUGAAGUUGGUGAACUGCCCUGAGACCUUCACCCCGGACAUGAGGUGCAUCAUGGGCGAGUCUCCUUCGGUGAGGGGCUACUUCGUCCUGGCGGGAAUGAACUCUGCCGGCCUUUUGUUCGGUGGAGGGGCUGGGAGGUUCUCAGCGGAGGGUAGAGACUCAGAUGCCAGAAGAUGUGUCCAUCAGGCAGAGGAUGAACAGAGCUAGAAAGCAAGCUUCAAAGAGAAGAGCGCAGAGGCCCUCCCUCAAGAGAGCCCAAGAUCAAGACAGCACAAGAGGUGACAGUGGAUCCUUUCAGAGAAAAGACCGCGUGUCCGAACACAAAGUCCCGCUAACCGUUCCCAGCAGUCCGGGGCCCUGGGAUCUCCAGGGAGAGACUGGAAGAGGACAGUACGCGGUACACAGAGCACAUGACGUAUGUGUCCGUCAGCUCCUCGAGUGAUCAGUAAGGCUUCCAGUCAACAGCAGGCUCUUAGCAGAUCACGUUUUUGAGGAGUUGAAAGUUCUAUGUGAGGCUCUGGGGCAGGAUGGGGGUGCCCUGACCCCCACGUUAUUCAAGGGUCAACUGCAUAACCUUCUUGAGGAUGAAAGCGCUUGAGAAGAACCCAGGCAUGGCACAAAUCACCUCUUGGACUCAUGGAAAAUCAUAAAAACAGGACCAGCCCAGGAUAGUCAGACAUGGAAACCAAGGCCUUAACUAAUGAAGCUACUGGAGCCACAGAGCAUCCCCCUCUUGACCAGGUUUGGCCACUUAAUGACACAGGCACCCAAGCGGCAAAGCUGACUGAUCAUGUGGCACUUCAGAAUCGAUCCCUGCCCGCACAGGCACAAGUCAGCUACCUCUGCAUCAACUCUUCCCAAAUUGUGACUAAUCCCUUCAUCUUAAAACCAUUAUAUCUGUCUGGACAAGGACAUAAAAUUCCAUGGGCUGGCAGAUGCAUGCUUCUGCCAGUAACGGAAAGAAAGCCUAAGGCCGUAGGUAAUGCAACUAACAUCAAGAACAAGACAGAGAUGCCUAGGAUCCCUAUGUACAUAAGACUGGACCCUGAAAAUUCCAAGGACUCAACUAAAAAGCAACUAUAAGAAAAUUUAGUAAGGAAAUAAAAAAUAUAAAAGAAAAAAUGGCUUUCAUUAUCACUUUGGGGCGCCUGGGUGGCUCAGUUAAACAUUUGCCUUCAGCUCAGAUCAUGAUCUCAGGGUCCUGGGAUCGAGACCCGAUUCGGGCUCCUGGCUAAGCUGCUCCCUUUCCCUCUGCCCAUCUCCCAACCUGUGCAUGCUCCCGCUCUCAAAUAAUAAAAUCUUUUUAAAAAAUAAUAAUCACUUAGAAGAUAAUGGAACAAAGAUACUCCUCUCAUUCACAAUAGCAACAAAAUAUUUUAACAUCUGUAAGAAGAAAACUUCAAAUACCUCUGAAAGGUCACCAAAAAAACUUAAAUAAAAACUCAAAGGCUUUCUUUUUAAGAUUGAGCACAUCAUGUCAGUUCUUCCUAAUGUAUAAAUGUAAUAUAAUCCAGAAUCCGUCAGUGUUCUUAACUAGAUAAUUACAGUUUCCAAGGGAAAAUAAGAAAACAUGGUUUUUUCCCCAGAGUUUUCCAAGCUAUGGAGGAGGAUAAGCACGACCAAAUAUUACAAUACAUAAGUGACCCCGAUCAUGGAUCGACUAAGGGAACAGAAGUCCAAAAAUAAAAACAGAAGUCCAGAAAUAAAUCCAAAAACAUAGAGGAAUUUAAGAUCCGUAAGGACGGAAUGUCAAAUCAACUGGUUAUCCAUGUAGAAAAAAAGUCUAAUCCAUAUCCCAUGAAGUACAGCAAGAGACACUGCAAAAGGAUGGGGCAUCAAAAUACAUGAAAACCCCACAAACCCAUACAACAGAGCAACACAACUAUAAAAGCACUAGAGGAAAACUGAAAAAAAUCUUACAAUCCUGACGCUAUGCAUCACACUCCAGAAGGCACAAAAGAUCAACUCAAUUACAUAAAAAUCCAAAUCUCUGCAAUGUAUGAAACAUUUCUCAUAAUUUUUUUUUUUUAAACCCUGUGUGGCAAAAAAAUGAAAAGACCAGUGACAAACUGGGGGGCAUCUAGGUGGCUCAGUGGUUAAAGCCUCCAAUUCUUGGUUUCAGCUCAGGUCACGAUCUCUGGGUUCUGAGAUCAAGUCCCACAUCGGUCUCUGUGCUCAGUACCAAGUCUGCCGGAGACUUUCCCUCUGCCCAUCCCCCCGCUUGCGCACACACUCUCAAAUAAAAUCAAUCUUAAAAAAAAAAAAAAAAAGACAAACUGGGAUACACCUCAACAGCAAGGACUGAUUUAGACAAUGCUUAAAAACUGGUAAACAGACCAAUCAUUGGGGCACCUGAGUGGCUCAGUGGGUUGAAGCCUCUGCCUUCAGCUCGGGUCAUGGUCCCAGGGUCCUGGGAUCAAGCCCCAAAUCGGGCUCUCUGCUCAGCGGGGAGCCUGCUUCCCUUCCUCUUUCUCUGCCUGCCUCUCUGCCUCCUUGUGAUCUCUGUCAAAUGGAUAAAUAAAAUCUUAAAAUAAAUAAAUAAAUAAAUAAUCUUCAGUGGAAAAAAAAAAGACCAAUCAUUGAUUACAAAAGUGCACAAAGGUUAUGACCAGAACAUUCAUUCAUGCCACGUUUAUUAACCACUUAACUAUGUGCCAAAUACUUCUCUAGGUGCCUAAGAUAUAAAAGUUAAAACUGAUAAAUAAUCCUGCCUUCAGAGAACUUAAAUUAAAGGUAAUCUGAUGAAUGAAAUAAAUAAAACACAUUUUAUCAGAUGGAAAGCAGAGAGGGAGAACCAGGGGGUUCUGGUUCUGGCUGUUGCGCCCGUUAAGGCUUCAUCCGGAAGAUGCCAUGUGAACGCGACCCGAAGCAGGUGCGGCUCUGAGAGCCUCCCGAUGAGGGAAGGACACACCAGGGAAGGGGAAGAGCCAAGUGCAAAGACCCUGAGGCAGGAGCAGCAGCACAGUCCAGGACUGGCAAGGAGCAGAAGAGGCAGAGAAAGGAUAAGGUCAGAAGAACAAGGUGGGGGAGGGGCGGGCAGGAGUGCACAGGUCCUACAGAUGAGCUUUUACUUGGAAAUGGGUUCUGAAAAGUUGCUUCAUCUCACAAAGAAAGUGAAGAGUGCGCUGACAACGCCGUACCUAUCAGCCAGCGUGCAAGAGAGCAGCGCUGGGGCGUGCGCGUGUGCGGCCCGGGAAGACACCGGUACACAGAGCGGCUUGUAACAAAGGCCUACAAAGCGCUACACCCACAAACGUCCAUUAGUCCCAGACUAAUCACGUAAAUGAUGAUUUGAUGAUGUGAUGUGAAGGAAGACUCACCACUGUUAAAAAAUAAAGAGGGAGCUCUUCUCUUUAGGUACUGACCCGGAAGGAGCUCUACGAUUAUUAAGAACAUCUGUAUGCUUCCAUCUGUGUUUCUAAAAAAGGGUUAUGGUGUCUUUGAACUUAUCUGCAUAUGCACAGAAAUCUUGGACAUGACCUACAAAAAAUAGCUGGUCACUAGUGGUUGCUGGGAACUGCUCAGGUGGCACUAAAUCCUUCCUAUAGGUUUUGAUUUUUUUUUUUUAAUUUGUAAAGAUUUUAUUUAUUUAUUUGACAGAUCACAAGUAGGCAGAGAGGCAGGCAGAGAGGGGGAAGCAGGCUCCCUGCUGAGCAGAGAGCCCCAUUUGGGGCUUGAUCCCAGGACCCUGAGAUCAUGACCUGAGCCGAAGGCAGAGGCUUUAACCCACUGAGCCACCCAGGCGCCCCUAGGUUUUGAUUUUUAAACCAUGUAAAUGUAUUUCCUCUUCAAAAAAGUAAAAUCUUAGUCCAAAUGUUGAAGUCCCUCCACUGCAGCCUACCUCAGUUCCCAAGGCCCAGCUGGAAACGCUCUCUAGCCCUGCCAGUGCCCAGCCGGCGUGGGGAAGCCGGCGCCUUCCCCGGGAGGCUCACCUCUAUGGGGAUAUAUAGCAUGAAUCCCGGCUCUCCUGUGUGCGUCAUGCUCAUCACCCGGAUCCCGUUCGCGUAGCCCACGCUCAUCUCCUGUGGAAGCAGAGGGAGCAGUUGAGCACGGGCACUUCAGAGGUCCUGGGCACCCGGCGCUUGCGGAGCGACGAACACCUGAGGUGAGCCCCUCUCGUUAGCUCUGCACCUCUGAUUCGACAAGGGGCACAUGUGAAUGAAAAAUUCAUCCUCCAAGUGGUCUGUUUGCAAGUACUGGGGUCAGCAGGAAUGGAGCAGAGUCGCUACAAUCUCUCUUCUCAGGAGUGUCGCCACUGCAGGAGGGCCAGCCAAGCUGCUGGUGGGAAGUGGAGGCAAAGUCUUUACAAGCAAGAAACAUUUCUUUGCACAAAGCCCUGCUGAGGAUUGGUUGUAGUCAGGGGCCUCUUGAGUGAUGAAGACCGGGUCAAUGUCUUCUCCAGGGGAUCUGGCAGCCAAGUCCUGGGCACCUACCCCACAAGAGGGCACCCGAUGACCACAGAACGUGGUGCACCUGCUACUCGGGUCAGAGGCUGGGCUUCUCACCCUCAGAAUGUGUUUAUGGAGCCUUAGUUACCUAACGGCCCUCUGGCACCAUUGCUGUUCCUAUCGGGGAAAGUGCUAAGUCCCAGAUGGCAGUGAAGCAAGCUACUCCCCCAGGGAGCCCAAGAGGACACGCUGCUCCGCAGGCUCACGCACAUGGACCACUCAUCAGGAAGCAAGCCCUGCAGGGAAGGGCCUGCUAACGGCUAAUGGCGUGAGCUUUCCGUUGCUACCAUUCUGCCGCGGAGGAAAAGGAAAACUGUACAGUCAGCAGCUGGAUCCCAGCUUGGGUCCAAAUUUUGAGGAGCCUCUAUGAGUAACUGUCCCACGGCUGUUGGUUACAGGUCACCAAACCACUGGUCCGUUUAGACCUCAUUUACCAGCAUUCAGUUCCCACUUGUUUUACUUAGUUAUCAAUGGCUACUGUUGCCAAACAUAAGGAACUUACAGAAGCUGCUCACCAGAGAUACUGCACAGACAGAAGUUACUCUGUGAAGGGGAAGGGGAAGCACAGAGAAUGCGAACCUGACCUUAACCAGCAUUUUUGGCAUCUGUGUAAUAAUGCUCUAACUUAGAAAAUUUAAGCCACUGCUACAUAAAGCAAUAAAUAUAUAGGGCUGAUACUGAGAGAAGUUAAAUCCACUUUCAAAGAUAGCCUAAUGCUUACUGAAUAAGGAGACCUGGCAGGGUGAAAAAUAAAUGAAUUUACUGAG